rnacentral:rRNA from 1 species
CGGGUGAGUAAUACGUAUGCAACCUGCCUGCCACAGCCGGAUAAUCGGGAGAAAUUCCGUCUAAUACGGCAUAAUGCAUCGACGGGACAUCCUGUUGGUGCCAAGGUUGAUUCCGGUGGCGGAUGGGCAUGCGUCGCAUUAGUUAGUUGGCGGUGUAACGGACCACCAAGACGACGAUGCGUAGGGGUUCUGAGAGGAAGGUCCCCCACACUGGUACUGAGACACGGACCAGACUCCUACGGAAGGCAGCAG